GUUGUAGUCCCUAACUUGAGAUCAACAAAGCUGAGUCCUAUAUUACUGGGUGAAGAUUGAUACAUUAAAAAAAGAAGAGCCAUCUGGAAGGAACUGGAGUUUUUGGUGUGGAAUGAAUAAGGACAGGCACCGGACAAUCUCAAUUAUGUCAACUCUACACAUGCUAAUAUCAAGAAUCGCAUGUACAAUCAUGUACAAUGCUGUUUCCAAUGGAUAGAGAUCAGUUCUGCAAGGGAACGACUGUUACUGUCAGACAACUGUAAGAAUUUCUGAUGCAAUAUUGGAUUGCAUAUUAGAGAUAAAUAUAAAAUGAUUGGAUAUCCUGUGUCUGAAAA